rnacentral:rRNA from 1 species
UACAGAGGGGCAAGCGUUGUUCGGAAUUACUGGGCGUAAAGGGCGCGUAGGCGGCCUUCUAAGUCGAACGUGAAAUCCCCGGGCUCAACCCGGGAACUGCGUCCGAUACUGGAAGGCUUGAAUCCGGGAGAGGGAUGCGGAAUUCCAGGUGUAGCGGUGAAAUGCGUAGAUAUCUGGAGGAACACCGGUGGCGAAGGCGGCAUCCUGGACCGGCAUGACGCUGAGGCGCGAAAGCCAGGGGAGCAAAGCGGG